CAGAACCCCGGACAUUUUUCAUUCUCGUUCCGUGUUUCGAAGGGGCAACAGCUCCAGCUCCGGCUUAUUCCAAAUUUUCAGUAAAUAUUUUUUGACAAAAAUGUGAAAAAAAGAUGUAACUUACGUGAAGGCUGCCGACACACAAUUGUUAUUGCCUGUAGAAUGGCCCCAGGAUUUAGUGCUACGAGUCCUUUGUAAACACACACAUACACAUACACUUAAAGCGGCGAGUACGCUCCAUUUUACAUCACACUCACUAUCAUUACAACAGUCGCACUCUUAUCGAAAACCAACACCGACAAAAAACCAGCAAACAGAAUGGAAAACAGCCAGCUGCAAUCAGGAUAUGGUGCCAAAAAAAUAAAAAUACAAAAUAUGUAAUCAGAUGAAACCCUUCAUACAACUUUAGUGGACAACCAGAGGACUUCGUUCAUUACCCUGAGGUUCAGCCAUUCCAGGUAUAUCCUGAUCUCCGAUUACUGCUCUUUUUGAAGCUAUAUGGCUGUAAAAUAGGUUAAAUAUUGAAUAUACAUCGCAUUUCAACACGGAACAAGCUCGCUAACAGAAAGGAAAAUCGCCAGUUGCAAUCGAAAUAUGGUGCUACAUAAAAAAAAAGAAACAUGUUUAUAAACCUUUUACACAACUUUCCACAAGAGGUCUUUGUUUAUUGACCCUGAGGAUCGGGCCUUGCGAAUCUGCAGCUAUUCCAUGUAGCUCCUGAUCUCCGAUGACUGCACUAUUUUAAACUGAUUUUGUAUGGCUGACAAAUAGGUUAAAUAUUGAAUAUACAUCGCAUUUUAUUAUAUUGUACACAACCAAAAAAAAAAAUGUAUAAAACUGUUAAAAAAUAAAAAAAUAUGUGCUACGAAA